GUUGUCUGUUUUCUUUCCGUUAUCCCUUUCUUGUGGUGCUCCAUAGAUGAACUUGAGUUCAACAUCUUUUUAUUUUCAGCCAUGUACCAUAGACAUUACAAUUGAUUGGAAACGUGAUACUUCUAUUGCUAGUUCUGCUUCAUCCUUUGAGUCACCUAGGCUAUGCAGGACCUUUAUUUAAAGGAGAGAAGUUACUUCUUCUAUAUGGGUGUGUUUGGACUUGGUAACGAGGGAAAUACUGGACAAUGGCCCAAGUAAUGAUGGACUCUAUUCGAUUCCUGUGAUGAAAUUAUGCUCACCAGCUUCCUUUGCAGCUUCUCUUGGUGUUUGGCAUGCUCAUCUGGUGUAUGCAUCCAAUCCAAUAAAGUUUGUCAAACAUUACUAGUUGUUCUUUUAACUUCUAGUAAAUCAUCUAGUUUAUGCACCACGUGUGCAAGUUAGCAAGAGUCAUAAAGUCCCCUUUAGUACGUCUAGAUUUAAGGCCUCUGGCCCUCUUGAUUUAGUUUGUUCUGAUAUUUGGGGCCCUCCUCCUAUUGUUUCUAAUGAUGGUUAUCGUUAUUAUCUCAUCUUUUUUAUUAUUUUAGUAAAUAAACUUGGAUCUACUUUCUUUAAG